rnacentral:rRNA from 1 species
GGACAUAGUGGCGCACGGGUGCGUAACACGUAUGCAACCUACCUUACAUUGGGGGAUAGCCUUUCGAAAGGGAGAUUAAUACCGCAUAAGACAGUAACUGGGCAUCCAGUAGCUGUUAAAGAUUUAUCGAUGUAAGAUGGGCAUGCGACCAAUUAGUUAGUUGGCGAGGUAAUGGCUCACCAAGACUAUGAUUGGUAGGGGAACUGAGAGGUCAAUCCCCCACACUGGCACUGAGAUACGGGCCAGACUCC